rnacentral:rRNA from 1 species
GAUGAACGCUGGCGGCGUGCCUAAUACAUGCAAGUCGAGCGAACAGACGAGGAGCUUGCUCCUCUGACGUUAGCGGCGGACGGGUGAGUAACACGUGGAUAACCUACCUCUAAGACUGGGAUAACUUCGGGAAACCGGAGCUAAUACUGGAUAAUAUAUCGAACCGCAUGGUUCAAUAGUGAAAGACGGUUUUGCUGUCACUUAUAGAUGGAUCCGCGCCGCAUUAGCUAGUUGGUAAGGUAACGGCUUACCAAGGCAACGAUGCGUAGCCGACCUGAGAGGGUGAUCGGCCACACUGGAACUGAGACACGGUCCAGACUCCUACGGGAGGCAGCAGUAGGGAAUCUUCCGCAAUGGGCGAAAGCCUGACGGAGCAACGCCGCGUGAGUGAUGAAGGUCUUCGGAUCGUAAAACUCUGUUAUUAGGGAAGAACAAAUGUGUAAGUAACUAUGCACGUCUUGACGGUACCUAAUCAGAAAGCCACGGCUAACUACGUG